AGGACGAACGCUGGCGGCGUGCUUAACACAUGCAAGUCGAGCGGUAAGGCCUUUCGGGGUACACGAGCGGCGAACGGGUGAGUAACACGUGGGUGAUCUGCCCUGCACUCUGGGAUAAGCUUGGGAAACUGGGUCUAAUACCGGAUAUGACUGCAUCAUGCAUGUUGUGUGGUGGAAAGAUUUAUCGGUGCAGGAUGGGCCCGCGGCCUAUCAGCUUGUUGGUGGGGUAAUGGCCUACCAAGGCGACGACGGGUAGCCGACCUGAGAGGGUGACCGGCCACACUGGGACUGAGACACGGCCCAGACUCCUACGGGAGGCAGCAGUGGGGAAUAUUGCACAAUGGGCGGAAGCCUGAUGCAGCGACGCCGCGUGAGGGAUGAAGGCCUUCGGGUUGUAAACCUCUUUCAGCAGGGACGAAGCGUGAGUGACGGUACCUGCAGAAGAAGCACCGGCUAACUACGUGCCAGCAGCCGCGGUAAUACGUAGGGUGCGAGCGUUGUCCGGAAUUACUGGGCGUAAAGAGUUCGUAGGCGGUUUGUCGCGUCGUUUGUGAAAACCCGGGGCUCAACUUCGGGCUUGCAGGCGAUACGGGCAGACUUGAGUGUUUCAGGGGAGACUGGAAUUCCUGGUGUAGCGGUGAAAUGCGCAGAUAUCAGGAGGAACACCGGUGGCGAAGGCGGGUCUCUGGGAAACAACUGACGCUGAGGAACGAAAGCGUGGGUAGCAA
rnacentral:rRNA from 1 species